UCUUGUCAUAGUUAUGGUUUUGUGGUUCUUCUAGGUGGCUCACCUUACCCAAGCUGGAAGAAAAAUUGCAAACUUACUUCAGGAGGGAUACAGGAUGCCCAAACCACAACACGUCGAUGAAAAGUUGUAUCAGAUCAUGAUGAAAUGCUGGAAAAAUGACCCGGAUGUAAGACCAACAUUCGCUGAUUUGAAAAAUCAACUUAAGGACAUGGAAACCCAACAUAAGAGGCUGAUCAACAUGAAUAUGUACGAUAAGCAGUUGUAUGCAAAUAUCGAGGAUUUUUUCCUGUAGUUGGAUCACGUCCAAGGUGUGAUCGGCUAACGACUUGAUCACUUUACCGCAACAAGUUUCAGGGACUAAUCAUCUUUGCCUUAAUCUAUUGCGUUGUGCUUUUUAUAUUCUUAAACGGUGAACCACUAUUAUAUGCUUUCAGUCGCUUAACCGAUGGAGUAUACUCUCGUAUAAGCAUUUGUGAAGGGUUUGU